rnacentral:rRNA from 1 species
CCCCGCCUACGGGAGGCAGCAGGGGGAAUAUUGGACAAUGGGGGGAACCCUGAUCCAGCCAUGCCGCGUGUGUGAAGAAGGCCUUUUGGUUGUAAAGCACUUUAAGCGAGGAGGAGGCUACCGAGAUUAAUACUCUUGGAUAGUGGACGUUACUCGCAGAAUAAGCACCGGCUAACUCUGUGCCAGCAGCCGCGGUAAUACAGAGGGUGCAAGCGUUAAUCGGAUUUACUGGGCGUAAAGCGCGCGUAGGUGGCCAAUUAAGUCAAAUGUGAAAUCCCCGAGCUUAACUUGGGAAUUGCAUUCGAUACUGGUUGGCUAGAGUAUGGGAGAGGAUGGUAGAAUUCCAGGUGUAGCGGUGAAAUGCGUAGAGAUCUGGAGGAAUACCGAUGGCGAAGGCAGCCAUCUGGCCUAAUACUGACACUGAGGUGCGAAAGCAUGGGGAGCAAACAGGAUUAGAUACCCUGGUAGUCCAUGCCGUAAACGAUGUCUACUAGCCGUUGGGGCCUAGCUUUAGUGGCGCAGCUAACGCGAUA